ensembl:lncRNA
AUGGCUGAGCCACACAGGGGACUGUUUUACCUUCCCAUCAUCUAUUUAUGGACAGGAGUGGUUGAGGGUGAUGUGUUGGCAUCUUUGGCCCCACCUGUCCACCUGUCAGGGGAGAGACUUGGAUGGACCCUGCUAGUCUGUAUGGUGGGUGACUUCAGGAGCGGGCACCUCGAGGUCAGCUGGAGGUCACCAUCAGAAGGCCACGUGUCCAGCUCGCCAUACAGCGUUGCUUUAGGCGGGAAGCAUCGUGGCAACAGCGCUGUGGCUAUCAUCACCGUGGCAACAAGGGACUGGCCAUCCUACAGUUGCUCCGUGAGUCACAGGCGACGCCCUAAAGUCGCCAGGAGACGUCAAAUCACCUCAUCAGAUCAUGAAGAUCAGAUGUGCUAUGAAUAUGAACACGACGAGACAGAAGAUGUUGUUGUGUGGACAAACACCGUGGUGGUCCUGAUUAUGAGGCUGCUUCUCAUGAAGGUCUUGGUAUUCAACACUUUGAUGACCACUUGCGCUGUCAUUAAGUGA